rnacentral:rRNA from 1 species
GAUGAACGCUGGCGGCGUGCUUAACACAUGCAAGUCGAACGGUGAAGGCGGAGCUUGCUCUGCUGGAUCAGUGGCGAACGGGUGAGCAACACGUGAGCAAUCUGCCCCUGACUCUGGGAUAAGCGCUGGAAACGGCGUCUAAUACUGGAUACGAGCUGCGAAGGCAUCUUCAGCAGCUGGAAAGAAUUUCGGUCAGGGAUGAGCUCGCGGCCUAUCAGCUUGUUGGUGAGGUAAUGGCUCACCAAGGCGUCGACGGGUAGCCGGCCUGAGAGGGUGACCGGCCACACUGGGACUGAGACACGGCCCAGACUCCUACGGGAGGCAGCAGUGGGGAAUAUUGCACAAUGGGCGAAAGCCUGAUGCAGCAACGCCGCGUGAGGGACGACGGCCUUCGGGUUGUAAACCUCUUUUAGCAGGGAAGAAGCGAAAGUGACGGUACCUGCAGAAAAAGCGCCGGCUAACUACGU